GCCCACCAAAGAAAGCUUCUAUGAGGACGACACGGGAAAAUGCCCUGCAGUUCAGUGCUACUUCAUCUCUGGCAAACGCCUGUUCUGAAUCAACCCAAGUCCAGGGAAGCCUCAGACUGGCCCACUAACAACACAGGGACAAAACAUUGCUUAUGACAGGCAAAGAGAGACACUGUAAAUGACUAGACUGAAGGCAAAACCAUUUCAGCCACAACAGUAGGGUCCAUGUAGCACUCUAGGAGACACCUCUGAAGUGCCAGAUUCUUGUGAACAGAUACUACACUGCAGGGGACUGCAAGACCUCUUCUUCAUGAGUCUAUAACUUUCAAGACAUAUAUCUCACUUUUCUAAGGCAUGGAUAUAGACACAGAGUUAGACAAAAAGAGAAGACAGAGGAAUAUGACCCAAAUGAAAGAACAGGACAAAACCACAGCAAGGGACCUAAAUAAAACAGAGCGAUCUGGAUGGAAGACUUGAUAAGUGGAGGUAUAGCCAUCUUGGUACCAUGGGAGAAAAUGCAGUAAAAUCAUGGACAUACCAAGCCUUCUGAUAACAUUGAACUGCUGAGCCAAACAUGGAGCUAUAUACUGCCAGAAUGCUUAUCCUGAGAUGUAACUAAAAAUUUUAUUAAGUCACAA